GACGAACGCUGGCGGCGUGCUUAACACAUGCAAGUCGAACGGAAAGGCCCUGCUUUUGUGGGGUGCUCGAGUGGCGAACGGGUGAGUAACACGUGAGUAACCUGCCCUUGACUUUGGGAUAACUUCAGGAAACUGGGGCUAAUACCGGAUAGGAGCUCCUGCUGCAUGGUGGGGGUUGGAAAUUUUCGGCGGUUGGGGAUGGACUCGCGGGUUAUCAGCUUGUUGGUGGGGGAGUGGCUUACCAAGGCUUUGGAGGGUAGCCGGCCUGGGAGGGUGACCGGCCACAUUGGGACUGAGAGACGGCCCAGAGUCCUAUGGGAGGCAGCAGUGGGGAAUAUUGCACAAUGGGCGGAAGCCUGAUGCAGCAACGCCGCGUGCGGGAUGACGGCCUUCGGGUUGUAAACCGCUUUCGCCUGUGACGAAGCGUGAGUGACGGUAAUGGGUAAAGAAGCACCGGCUAACUACGUG
rnacentral:rRNA from 1 species